UACGUAGGGUGCAAGCGUUGUCCGGAAUUAUUGGGCGUAAAGAGCUCGUAGGCGGUCUGUCGCGUCGGCUGUGAAAUCCCGAGGCUCAACCUCGGGUCUGCAGUCGAUACGGGCAAACUGGAGUACUGCAGGGGAGACUGGAAUUCCUGGUGUAGCGGUGAAAUGCGCAGAUAUCAGGAGGAACACCGAUGGCGAAGGCAGGUCUCUGGGCAUUAACUGACGCUGAGGAGCGAAAGCAUGGGGAGCGAACAGG
rnacentral:rRNA from 1 species